CAGUCGCCGCGGUAAUACGUAGGGUGCAAGCGUUAUCCGGAAUCAUUGGGCGUAAAGAGCUCGUAGGCGGUUUGUCGCGUCUGCUGUGAAAACUGGAGGCUCAACCUCCAGCCUGCAGUGGGUACGGGCAGACUAGAGUGCGGUAGGGGAGAUUGGAAUUCCUGGUGUAGCGGUGGAAUGCGCAGAUAUCAGGAGGAACACCGAUGGCGAAGGCAGAUCUCUGGGCCGUAACUGACGCUGAGGAGCGAAAGCGUGGGGAGCGAACAGGAUUAGAUACCCCGGUAGUCCCUGUCUCUUAUAC
rnacentral:rRNA from 1 species